AAAAGACUUGAGUACUUGGAUCUAACGGAGGACAUGACACAAAACCGAGCGCAAUGGCGUUCUAGGAUUCAUAUAGCCGACCCCACAUAGUGGGAAAAUGCUUUGUUGUUGUUGUUGUUGUUGGUUGUAGGAUUAGAGAUCGAAUAGGAAGUCUUGUUGAGAAUGGAUUUGUAAAUCCAUGUUGUAACUGGACUGCUAUUUGAAAUGAAUUGGUAUUCCAUAUGGAUUUUAAUAGGGGAAUCCUUAUAGAAUUUGGCUAAGAUUGUAUAGUAUAUAUAUGGUGGCCUCUGCUCUCGCGAUGUGGACUCAAUACAAGACUAAGACCUAUUAUUAGUUGAGAACCUUGAACACUGAAGAGAUGCACUGCAACAUUGUUACAGAAAUCAGACAUGGCAGCCGGUUCAAGUUCAUCUACAGGUACGGUUUUCUCCAUACAUUGGUUUAAUGAACAUUGAUUUGUGUUUUGACAACAGUAGCUCAUAUAACUUGUUAUUGGUUUAUGUUUAAUUCUAACAUGUGGUAUCAGAGCUAGGGAUUAUAAGUUUAUGAGUUCUGUGAUUAAAACCAAUAGGUUCAAAAGCCUGAAUAAUAUUUAAGUAAAUAUACCAUUAUUGCGGGAUUGGGGAAUCGAACACGGGUUUUGGCAUAUAGGUUUCAAAUAACGACAAAACCAAAGGAAAAUUUUGACCAUUGUAUAAUUAAAAGCUGGUGACCGUUGAUUUUCCUGCAAACCCAUUGGUAAGGGCCUUCUUUUCCAAUUUGGGGUUUUCUGGGGAAAGAUAACUUUUUCGAUUGCUCUCUUUCUUGUCUUCAACUCUGUGUUUGAAGAAAGGAUCUGGGAAUUAAGAAACAAAUCCAUAUUAAAUAUUAAGUUUCCGCUGCACGAUAUGGGUUUUCAUAUUCAAGGUAUGUAUUCUGAAACUCGGAGAAGAAGCAUGAAAAAGUAAAAUUCAAUUCUGUUUGAAUCCUUCUAUUUGAUAAGUUCGAUUAGAAUAACAUGUGUCAGAUUGAUUGAUUCAAAUCAGAUAACAUGCAUCUUAAAGUUAAAGGCUAUAAUUUUCCAAUAUCUCGCAAAGUCAUGAUCUUCUGAUUCUAAUGAUCGUUUUAUUUUGAUAUUACAUCAUUAUGCAUGAGACAUCUAUUGGUUGUCUAUUGUUGCAUAUUUCUCCACUGAAUCUGCAGGUGCAUUUGCUGAAUUUGACGCAAAGCCAGAAGGCUGAUCAGAACAGUAGCGGUGCCGAAGGCCAUCGAGUGACAGUGGAAGAAAAGAAGCUUAUGAAUGGCAAUGGAUCAUCACUAGUGGUGCCGAGGCAGUUCAUGGAUCUUGGGUUAGCUGCUAAAAAUGGUGACGCUGAUGAGCAUUCAUAGUCUUCGUCUGAUGAACGAAGUCAUGGCGAACGGUUUGGAUCGCUUGGAGAUAAUGUGAAGGCUGCAGGGCACAGUGAUGACCAAAGGAUCGGUUUUGAUCACGAAAAGAAGGAUUUCGGGAGACGAAUUGGGAGAGAGGAGAGCCCAGAUCAGCCGUCACAGAGUUGGGGGCUUAACAAAGUUCCGAGGCUCAAUUCUCCGAAAGAGGUUGGUCAAACUGAGGCUACAAUGAGGAAGUUUUUGUUUGAUGCUUUGGAAACAGUUUGGUUGUUUUAAGCUUAUGAUUAGUUAAUCGUUUUAAGUCAAUGUUAUGUUGCUUUCCUAUAAGAUCGAUUUAUGUUUUGGUCUUUUUGAAAAGUGGGAGCAUAUUAUGUGAUUGACUGUUUAAUAUCAGUUUAUGUUAUGAGUCAUAUUUGCAGUCUGGAUGUGUGUGAACUUAGAAUCAAUACUGCAUUUUGGUUGUGGUUUAUGAUUCUCUGUUUCCAUGUUUUGGAGUGUAAUAGAAUGAUGGUCAUAAAGAUGGAUUCUCAGGUGAGGCUCUGUGGUCACUUCUUAUAAAUUGGAGAAGUUCAUGUCUGAAACUGAUCUCAUGUUCAAGUGGGAGAAAAAUGUAAGAAAAUGAACAUGAGAUUGGGUGUUUUUGACGGUGAAUGGUUAAGUCCAAUUAGAAUAAGAAAGCCUUAUGAGAAGCUGUGAACAAAUCCUUAUUUUUGAAGGAUUCUGUUAAAAAUAUUUGAACUGAUAUGGCUUGGAAAACAUAAGUUGUUUUCUAUAAGGAUUGUAAUAGGAAAUCCUUGUCAAGUUAUAAGAAGGAUAAAUAUGUGUUUUGGAUUCAGUUUGAUGCUUGAGAAUCUUUGUGAUUUGACUUGAGCAGUUGGUUGAAUUCAUAUAUUGGUAAUUCUUUAUAUUGGAAUGAAUUACUAGUUGAUAGUUUUACUAUCUGUUGGACUUAAUUGUUUCGAAUUAAGUUAAUGAAUAGUGGGAGUGGAUAUUAAGGUCCACUGAUGUCAGUUUGGUCAUAAUGUUAUAAGUGCAAAUUGAACAUAUGUGAUUUGAAGUUAGCAUUUACAUAUAUGUUGUAAUUGACAGCUUUUGGUCCUGUGUUUUGAAAUGCACGGAUAGAUUGUUUAUGAUGUUACUCAAAAGACUUUGUGAUCAACCUAUUAUAGUCUUAAUCGAACUAGUUUUCUUGGUUCAUACUUGCUCAAGUGGGAGAAUGUUAGAAUAUGAGCAUGAGUAUGAAUCGGUAAACUUGGUUGUAGGAUUAGAGAUUGAAUAGGAAGUCUUGUUGAGAAUGGAUUUGUAAAUCCAUGUUGUAACUGGACUGCUAUUUGGAAUGAAUUGGUAUUCCAUAUGGAUUUUAAUAGGGGAAUCCUUAUAGAAUUUGGCUAAGAUUGUAUAGUAUAUAUAUGGUGGCCUCUGCUCUCGCAAUGUGGACUCAAUACAAGACUAAGACCUAUUAUUAGUUGAGAACCUUGAACACUGAAGAGAUACACUGCAACAUUGUUACAGAAUCAGACAUGGCAGCCGGUUCAAGUUCAUCUACAGAAGAAAGCUGGGCCUUUUGGUACCGUCAAAGGCUUACUAACCAACCCCAGUGUUCUUCCGGAUGAAUCUGUGAAUCCGAGAUUGGCAAAGAUUUUGGAGAAAGUUGCUGUUAAUAGAGAACUUAUAGUUGCUCUUGCAAACUCGAAUGUGAAGGAAAUGUUGGAGGUAUGGUUCGCUAACAUCAAUAGGGUGGGCAUAUCCAAUUAUCUGGUUGUUGCUUUGGAUGAUGAAAUUGCCAGAUUCUGCGAAUUGAAAAAUGUUCCAGUUUAUAAGAGAGACCCAAACAAAGUAAUUGAUUCGGUUGCAAGUGUUAGAUGACGUCAUCAUGCUCAGCGCAUCACCGAAACUUGUGGAGUUUGACUUGGUUCAAACUCCUAUCCUUUCAGCUGUUCCUAGUUUAUAGGACUGUUUAGUUAUUUGAUUUUCUGCUGUAAUCUGAACCUGUGGUUGUAAUCCUUUUCUUGGUUUCUGAUUGUAUUUUUGAAUUUCGAAAGCUCCUUGUAUCUAGGGUUUUCAAACCCAAUCUGUAAUCAUGAAAGUAUUAUGAAUACAUGCAUCCCACAAUGGAUUGGGUAUGCAAUUGAAGUGAAACAUUGAACUAGUAAGUUUAACAGCGAGGACCGGAGGGAACCAUGCUGUCUCUGGGCUAAAAUUUCGUGUUCUGAGGGAGUUUUUGCAGCUUGGGUACAGUGUUCUUCUGUCAGAUGUCGAUAUUGUGUACUUGCAAGACCCCUUUAAUUAUCUAUAUCAUGAUUCAGAUGUAGAGUCCAUGACUGCUUAUGGUUACAAUGACGGCUUUGAUGAGCCAGGAAUGGGUUGGGCUCGAUAUGCUCAUACAAUGCGUAUAUGGGUGUAUAACUCUGGUUUCUUCUACAUUCGACCGACAAUUCCUUCAAUUGAGCUAUGGGAUCGUGUGGCCAAUCGACUCUCAAAGGAGCAGGCUUGGGACCAGGCAGUGUUCAACCAGGAGAAGUAUGGAUUUCUAUCUCUUUAUGAAUAGCAAGGUCCUCCUCAAGACCGUGAGGAAAGAUGCUAAACUGAGCAAGUUGAAGCCGGUUAUUGUUCACCUUAAUUACCAUCCUGAUAAGCAUCCUAGAAUGUUAGCAAUUAUGGAUUUUUAUGUCAAUGGGAAGCAGGAUGAACUGAAACCUUUCCCUGAUGGUUCAGAGUGGUAGAGAUUAUUCCUGCUAAUCACAGGUACGCUCAGGACAUUUCGAUACUUUGUGUUAAAAGGAAAUGUAACGUAAAUGUUCGAAAAGCAUACUUUGUGUUCAAAACGAUAUCAAAAGAAUUGUAGGCUUUAAGCUAAUUUUUGUAUGUUUGAAAUUGUUUUGGAAAUUGAAAUCAUCUGGUAUCAUAUUUACGCUUA